UCGAGCGGACAGAUGGGAGCUUGCUCCCUGAUGUUAGCGGCGGACGGGUGAGUAACACGUGGGUAACCUGCCUGUAAGACUGGGAUAACUCCGGGAAACCGGGGCUAAUACCGGAUGCUUGUUUGAACCGCAUGGUUCAAACAUAAAAGGUGGCUUCGGCUACCACUUACAGAUGGACCCGCGGCGCAUUAGCUAGUUGGUGAGGUAAUGGCUCACCAAGGCAACGAUGCGUAGCCGACCUGAGAGGGUGAUCGGCCACACUGGGACUGAGACACGGCCCAGACUCCUACGGGAGGCAGCAGUAGGGAAUCUUCCGCAAUGGACGAAAGUCUGACGGAGCAACGCCGCGUGAGUGAUGAAGGUUUUCGGAUCGUAAAGCUCUGUUGUUAGGGAAGAACAAGUGCCGUUCAAAUAGGGCGGCACCUUGACGGUACCUAACCAGAAAGCCACGGCUAACUACGUGCCAGCAGCCGCGGUAAUACGUAGGUGGCAAGCGUUGUCCGGAAUUAUUGGGCGUAAAGGGCUCGCAGGCGGUUUCUUAAGUCUGAUGUGAAAGCCCCCGGCUCAACCGGGGAGGGUCAUUGGAAACUGGGGAACUUGAGUGCAGAAGAGGAGAGUGGAAUUCCACGUGUAGCGGUGAAAUGCGUAGAGAUGUGGAGGAACACCAGUGGCGAAGGCGACUCUCUGGUCUGUAACUGACGCUGAGGAGCGAAAGCGUGGGGAGCGAACAGGAUUAGAUACCCUGGUAGUCCACGCCGUAAACGAUGAGUGCUAAGUGUUAGGGGGUUUCCGCCCCUUAGUGCUGCAGCUAACGCAUUAAGCACUCCGCCUGGGGAGUACGGUCGCAAGACUGAAACUCAAAGGAAUUGACGGGGGCCCGCACAAGCGGUGGAGCAUG
rnacentral:rRNA from 1 species